rnacentral:lncRNA from 1 species
GGAGUCUGUGGCGCUUGAUCCAGGAGGCCCACAGCCCUGUGGGCUUUUCUUAGAUAGUAAAAAAAACUUACAUAGUCAAAGAGUGGGGAGACCUGGAAAAUGUGCCCCAAUUAAGCAAGUAAUGGGUCCUGUUGUGUCUUUGAGGGCUCAGCUGGAAGGAAGAGCAGAGGAGCGCGGGGUCAGAGGCUCCAGAUCCCUGGUGUCGGCCCUCUCCCUUCUGCAGCCCUGUGUCAGUACAGACCCCACUCCCUCCCCCUCACUGUGAGAGUGAGUGCCUGUGCACUUUCCCAGGGAGAGCUCCGACCGGAUCCUUCCUUUGUCAGGUUCACCAGCGGCAGGAGUGUGGAGGGUGACGCAUGCCCUGGCCGGCCUGGACUGCGCACAGCUGGUUCAUUACGGCGUGCUCCUGGAAAUACCUUGGAUCAAGAAACCCUCAGCAAAGCCCAGCAUCACAAAUCACAAAUCAGAACUCUAGCAGCAGGCUAAUUCCCUGUCUUUAACAGAGGAAUGGGCACAGUGCUUGGCUGUCCGGCAGGAAAUAAUGAGAAAAUCUGAAGAAAACAGAAAAUGUAAAAAUAGAUAAAUAGAA